ensembl:misc_RNA 7SK 7SK RNA
AUACAUGGGGGCGAUCAGGCUACAUUAUCUGUCAUCCCGUUGGAUUGCCAGGUUUGAAUGAGCUGGUCUGACUGGCUGGGUGGCAGUCUCCUUCCUCCCUUACCACUACAUGUGUGUCCCUUCCCAAGCUGCACGUGGGAUCAAAGAGGACCACCAUCCCAAUUUAGGAGGACCAUUCUUUGGUCAAGGAUAUAUAACUGGCUGUGCUCCUCUACUAGAACCUCCAAAAAAAGCUCUCAAAGUCCAUUUGUAGGAGAAUGUAGGGUACUCAAUCUUCCAAGACUUCAGCCACAUCCAAAUGAGGUGCUGCAAGACUUACAUU